rnacentral:rRNA from 1 species
UACGUAGGGGGCAAGCGUUGUCCGGAAUCAUUGGGCGUAAAGAGCGCGUAGGCGGCCCUGUAAGUCCGCUGUGAAAGUCAAGGGCUCAACCCUUGGAUGCCGGUGGAUACUGCAGGGCUAGAGUCCGGAAGAGGCGAGUGGAAUUCCUGGUGUAGCGGUGAAAUGCGCAGAUAUCAGGAGGAACACCGAUGGCGAAGGCAGCUCGCUGGGACGGUACUGACGCUGAGGCGCGAAAGCGUGGGGAGCAACAGG